AUAGAUUUUCCUGCUAGCCUC
rnacentral:piRNA from 1 species